UACGUAGGGUGCAAGCGUUAAUCGGAAUUACUGGGCGUAAAGGGCGCGUAGGCGGCCUACUAAGUCAGACGUGAAAUCCCCCGGCUUAACCUGGGAACUGCGUCUGAUACUGGAAGGCUUGAGGAUGGGAGAGGGAUGUAGAAUUCCAGGUGUAGCGGUGAAAUGCGUAGAUAUCUGGAGGAAUACCGGUGGCGAAGGCGGCGACCUGGUUCAAAACUGACGACUG
rnacentral:rRNA from 1 species